CUAGGGUGUUAUGAUAACACAUGGAAACAUUGUAGCCACUGCUGCAGCAGCUAUAACAGUCAUUCCAGAACUAAAUAGCAAAGAUGUCUACUUGGCGUACUUGCCCCUGGCUCACGUUUUUGAAUUGGCAGCUAAGUCUGUCAUGGUGGCUACGGGAUGUAGAAUUGGUUAUGGUUCCCCAUUGAUUUUAACAGACAUAUCAAACAAAAUUAAGAAGGGAACCAAGGGAAAUGCUUCUGAAUUAAAGCCAACUCUCAUGGCAGCAGUUCCUGCUAUAUUGGAUCGUGUUCGAGAUGGAGUACUGAAAAAGUUGAGGAUACUGGGGGUCUAGCGAAGACUCUUUUUACAUUUGCAUAUACACGUCGACUGGCAGCUGUAGAAGGAAGCUGGUUUGGGGCUUAGGGACUGGAAAAAAUGCUGUGGGAUUUAAUCAUCUUUAAGAAAAUACGCUCUGUACUUGGAGGAGAUAUUAGAUUUAUGCUCUGUGGUGGAGCUCCUUUAUCUGUGGAUUCACAACACUUCAUCAAUAUCUGCAUGGGGGCUCCUAUUGACCAAGGAUAUGGCUUGACAGAAACUUUUGCUGGAGCUGCUUUUUCUGAGGCAGAUGACACAGCAGUGGGCCGUGUAGGGCCACCCCUUCCUUGUUGCUACAUUAAGGUAUAUUAAGAGUUGAUCAUUUAUGCGUUAAUUUCAUCUAAUAUAAAUAUUCAACUGAUUGCUUUUUGACAUAGUGGUUAUAUAAUAUUUUGUAUUGAUUGCUUUUAGCCAGGUCUUAAUGAGAAAUUAAAAUGCAUGAAGCAACAUGCUUUUAGAUCAGUUCACUUAAUAUUAUUGACUUCGAUUUAAAAGGAAUGAUUUCUUUUUUCUUAUUAUUUUUAAAAUAGAUUUUGGGAGAUGAAAAGAGUGGAAAUGGAUUAUGCAAACAAUGAUAUUCUUGGAAAAGCAGUUGAGAAGAGUCUUAGCAGCAUUCUAGCAAGUGAGUUUUAUUUAAAGACGCGUGUUAGAUUUAAAAUUGUUCAAAAAUCUUAUUAUUUGCAUAGCUUGAUAUGGUAAAUAACUUAAAUGUAUUGAAAACUAUAUUUUAUGUUAUAAGAGAAUUUGAAAACUAAUAUUGGUGGGGCUUUAGUAUGAUUUAUGCUUACUUAGUUGUGGCAGAGGAAUUGGUUCGUAGUAAUUAGUUGGAGGAUGCCAAUAGGGUUCUCUUGUGGGGUGGUGGUUUAUUCUUGUCCCAUGUGCCUUUUUUUUAAUUUUUUUUAUGGAAUAUACGUGUACAAGUAAUGUUAGCAUUUUCUUUUUCAUAAGUUGAUGCAAUGUCUUGAGAUUAUUCCUUUUAAGGUUGAGGACUUCAGCUGUAGUUGUCUGAGUUAUGAUUGAUGUUUACAAUAGUGAUUGUAUAUAAUUGCUGCAUAUAUAACAUGUUCAGUUACGUUUUAAUUGUAGUCAUAAGGUUUCUUGUUCUACUGAUUUUCUUUAAUGAUUAAGAUAAUAUAUAAUGUAUUUUCUUAGAUAUGCAUAUACAUGAACUGUUCUAAUAGGUGAUAAUAAAUAAAGCAAUCUACAUUUGUUUUGAUAUGAGUUUUUGCUGCUAAACCAUCUAAGGGCUUCUCUUUUCUUCACUCCAUCCCACUCUUGUUGAAUUUGAUUGUUGGUCUGUUUAAUCAAAGAGGUGUUCUCUGCAUUUUCUUUUCUACUUGGCUAUUAUUAGUAUUCAUUGAAAGGCUUAUAUGGGAAUAAAAUUGGUCUCAAGAGUCAAGAUAGUCCAUGGUGGUAAAGCAACUGUAUAUGAACCUAUCAUUUUUAAUAUCUAUUUCCACUGAACCAUUGAUAAUGAACCAAUAUCACUCUUCUUCAUUGGCUGUAAUAGCUUUUGGGGAAUGUGGGUCCUUGUGUGUUUUCUUGACCCUGUUUUUAUUUUUGUUACCUUUUGGGGAACUGAGGCAUUUAUAAAGGGAUCUCAUAUUUUCAUCUCAGUUAGGUUUGGUUCAUUUGGCUUUUUUUUCACUUUCAAGGUAUUCAUUAUUGUAGAGAAAAUGCUCAAGAUAGAACAAACAUUCAUGGAUUUAUCAUUUCCCUUAUUUGUAUUGAUAAUAAAUCUGAUUUUUUUCAUCCUUUUAAAUUGGAAUACAAACUGUUUUUGGUUUUUUGUUCUUUCUAUGUGUGUUGUGUCUGCUUUUCUUUUUAUUGUUGGUUUUAUUUCAAACUGUUGCAUUAUUGUUGGCCUUUGCUAUUAGUUUUUCUGCUGCUUUUGCUGCCUCUUGUCGUUGUAUUUAAGAUUUUUGUUGUUCUUUUUAUUUUGUGAGCUCUAGUUUCCAAGGACUCUAUAGUGGGUUUGGAUAGUUUCUUGGUUGUAAGAGUUGUAAUUUUUUUUAAUGAUGACUCCUAAUUAAAGGUUGAAUGAUGUUGAUAGUUUAUUAAUUGGUAUGCAAUUUUUCUUUCAUUUUAGUGGCUUCAUUG